CCACGGGGGGCAGCAGUGGGGAAUAUUGGACAAUGGGGGCAACCCUGAUCCAGCCAUGCCGCGUGUGUGAAGAAGGCCCUCGGGUUGUAAAGCACUUUCAGUGAGGAAGAACGCCUGGUGGUUAAUACCCAUCAGGAAAGACAUCACUCACAGAAGAAGCACCGGCUAACUCCGUGCCAGCAGCCGCGGUAAUACGGAGGGUGCGAGCGUUAAUCGGAAUUACUGGGCGUAAAGCGCGCGUAGGUGGCUUGAUAAGCCGGUUGUGAAAGCCCCGGGCUCAACCUGGGAACGGCAUCCGGAACUGUCAAGCUAGAGUGCAGGAGAGGAAGGUAGAAUUCCCGGUGUAGCGGUGAAAUGCGUAGAGAUCGGGAGGAAUACCAGUGGCGAAGGCGGCCUUCUGGACUGACACUGACACUGAGGUGCGAAAGCGUGGGUAGCAAACAGGAUUAGAUACCCGUGUAGUC
rnacentral:rRNA from 1 species